AUCUAGCCAUGCCGCGUGAGUGAUGAAGGCCUUAGGGUCGUAAAGCUCUUUCGCCUGAGAUGAUAAUGACAGUAUCUGGUAAAGAAACCCCGGCUAACUCCGUGCCAGCAGCGCCGGUAAUACGGAGGGGGUUAGCGUUGUUCGGAAUUUCUGGGCGUAAAGCGCGCGUAUGCGGAUUAGUAAGUUAGAGGUGAAAUCCCAGGGCUCAACCCUGGAACUGCCUUUAAUACUGCUCGUCUUGAGUUCGAGAGAGGUGAGUGGAAUUCCGAGUGUAGAGGUGAAAUUCGUAGAUAUUCGGAGGAACACCAGUGGCGAAGGCGGCUCACUGGCUCGAUACUGACGCUGAGGUGCGAAAGUGUGGGGAGCAAACAGGAUUAAAUACCCUGGUAGUCCACACCGUAAACGAUGAAUGCCA
rnacentral:rRNA from 1 species